rnacentral:rRNA from 1 species
GUGAGGAAUUUUCCGCAAUGGGCGAAAGCCUGACGGAGCAAUGCCGCGUGAAGGAUGAAGGCCUAUGGGUUGUAAACUUCUUUUCUUAGAGAAGAAUAUUGACGGUAUCUGAGGAAUAAGCAUCGGCUAACUCUGUGCCAGCAGCCGCGGUAAUACGAAGGGGGCUAGCGUUGCUCGGAAUUACUGGGCGUAAAGGGCGCGUAGGCGGACAGUUUAGUCAGAGGUGAAAGCCCAGGGCUCAACCUUGGAAUUGCCUUUGAUACUGGCUGUCUUGAGUACGGGAGAGGUGAGUGGAACUCCGAGUGUAGAGGUGAAAUUCGUAGAUAUUCGGAAGAACACCAGUGGCGAAGGCGACUCACUGGCCCGUUACUGACGCUGAGGCGCGAAAGCGUGGGGAGCAAACAGGAUUAGAUACCCCGGUAGUCC